rnacentral:rRNA from 1 species
UACGGGGGGGGCAAGCGUUGUUCGGAAUUACUGGGCGUAAAGGGCUCGUAGGUGGCCAACUAAGUCAGACGUGAAAUCCCUCGGCUUAACCGGGGAACUGCAUCUGAUACUGGAUGGCUUGAGUUUGGGAGAGGGAUGCGGAAUUCCAGGUGUAGCGGUGAAAUGCGUAGAUAUCUGGAGGAAUACCGGUGGCGAAGGCGGCAUCCUGGACCGACAUUGACGCUGAGGAGCGAAAGCUAGGGGAGCAAACAGG